UACGGAGGGUGCAAGCGUUAUCCGGAUUCACUGGGUUUAAAGGGCGCGCAGGCGGCUCGACAAGUCAGAUGUGAAAGCCCCGGGCUCAACCUGGGAACGGCAUUUGGGACUGUCGGGCUAGAGUUCGGGAGAGGUGGGUGGAAUUCCCAGUGUAGAGGUGAAAUUCGUAGAUAUUGGGAAGAACACCGGUGGCGAAGGCGGCUCACUGGACCGAGACUGACGCUGAGGCGCGAAAGCGUGGGGAGCAAACAGG
rnacentral:rRNA from 1 species